CCCUGGUGGUCAAAAGGUAAAGAAUUUGCCUGCAAUGCAGGAAACCCAGGUUCAAUCCCUGGAUCAGGAA
rnacentral:tRNA from 1 species